UGCAAGUCGAGCGAACGGAUAAGGAGCUUGCUCCUUUGAAGUUAGCGGCGGACGGGUGAGUAACACGUGGGUAACCUACCUAUAAGACUGGAAUAACUUCGGGAAACCGGAGCUAAUGCCGGAUAACAUAUAGAACCGCAUGGUUCUAUAGUGAAAGAUGGUUUUGCUAUCACUUAUAGAUGGACCCGCGCCGUAUUAGCUAGUUGGUAAGGUAAUGGCUUACCAAGGCGACGAUACGUAGCCGACCUGAGAGGGUGAUCGGCCACACUGGAACUGAGACACGGUCCAGACUCCUACGGGAGGCAGCAGUAGGGAAUCUUCCGCAAUGGGCGAAAGCCUGACGGAGCAACGCCGCGUGAGUGAUGAAGGUUUUCGGAUCGUAAAACUCUGUUAUUAGGGAAGAACAAAUGCGUAAGUAACUGUGCGCAUCUUGACGGUACCUAAUCAGAAAGCCACGGCUAACUACGUGCCAGCAGCCGCGGUAAUACGUAGGUGGCAAGCGUUAUCCGGAAUUAUUGGGCGUAAAGCGCGCGUAGGCGGUUUCUUAAGUCUGAUGUGAAAGCCCACGGCUCAACCGUGGAGGGUCAUUGGAAACUGGGAAACUUGAGUGCAGAAGAGGAAAGUGGAAUUCCAUGUGUAGCGGUGAAAUGCGCAGAGAUAUGGAGGAACACCAGUGGCGAAGGCGACUUUCUGGUCUGUAACUGACGCUGAUGUGCGAAAGCGUGGGGAUCAAACAGGAUUAGAUACCCUGGUAGUCCACGCCGUAAACGAUGAGUGCUAAGUGUUAGGGGUUUCCGCCCCUUAGUGCUGCAGCUAACGCAUUAAGCACUCCGCCUGGGGAGUACGACCGCAAGGUUGAACUCAAGGAAUUGACGGGGACCCGCACAAGCGGUGGAGCAUGUGGUUUAAUU
rnacentral:rRNA from 1 species